rnacentral:rRNA from 1 species
GGAGGGUGCGAGCGUUAAUCGGAAUAACUGGGCGUAAAGGGCACGCAGGCGGUGACUUAAGUGAGGUGUGAAAGCCCCGGGCUUAACCUGGGAAUUGCAUUUCAUACUGGGUCGCUAGAGUACUUUAGGGAGGGGUAGAAUUCCACGUGUAGCGGUGAAAUGCGUAGAGAUGUGGAGGAAUACCGAAGGCGAAGGCAGCCCCUUGGGAAUGUACUGACGCUCAUGUGCGAAAGCGUGGGGAGCAAACAGGAUUAGAUACCCUGGUAGUCCACGCUGUAAACGAUGUCGAUUUGGGGGUUGAGCUUUAAGCUUGGCGCCCGUAGCUAACGUGAUAAAUCGACCGCCUGGGGAGUACGGCCGCAAGGUUAAA